GCAUCGGUGGUUUAGUGGUAAAAUUAGCCGUUGCCAUUCAUUCGAGGUCGGCUAGGUAAGAUUUCAUCAACAAAUUUACGACUAGCAGCUUACAAUAAAUGUAGCCCCGGGUUCGAUUCCCGGCCGAUGCA